AUGGCCGGUGACGUCGACCGCCUAUCUGAUCUCCCCGACGAGCUCCUCCUGCGUGUUCUCCGCUUCGUCCCAGCCAAGCAGGCCGCCGCCACGCCCGCGCUCUCGCGGCGAUGGCGCUCGCCGCUCUACCGCUCCUCCGGCGCCAUGAACCUCGAGAUGUUCGACGAGGGCUACGAGUACGACGACGACUACAACUCCCGGUACGGACAAGAUGAGUGCAAAGAAGCCGCCAAGGCCCUCUUCUUCUCCCGCCGCGACGCCUUCGUGUCCGCGGCCGUGGCGGUGCUCGACGCCGCCGACGUCCCCGUCACCAGGCUCGCCCUGCGCCUCGAGUACAGCUACCUCGACUCGAUCUGGAUGUUCCUGGACCUGGACCCUGACAGGUACAACGGGUCGCCCGCGCGGGACUUCUACGUGCUCGCCAGCCUGCUCUCCCACCCGGCGGCGCGCCGCGUGGAGGAGCUCUGCCUCGUCGACGUCGAAUACGACGGCAGCCGCGGCCGCAUCCACGACCGCCAGGAGGGCGAGGUCGACGUCGCUCUCUCCUUUGGCGGUCUGAACCUCCGCUUGCUGGACCUCGCCAACUGCUGCGAACUUGUCUCGCCGCCGCCGGCCGCUCCCGUCGUGUUCCCGCGGCUCUCGUCGCUACGGAUGGGCCAUUGCACCACGGGGCUGGACACCCUCCAGAGCCUCAUCGACGCCGCGCCGGCGCUCGCCGACGUCUGCCUGGAGUCCGUCGUCUUCGCCCAGCAUGACGACCGAUGCCGGCCACCUCAAAAAGCCCUGCUCCGCUUCCCGGCGGCCACCGUGCUCGUCCUGGAGAGGUGCAACUGGGCGCAGAAAGACGGCCCAUACUAUAAGUACAUUGAAGCCGACAAGGCCGCCGCCGCCGCCAUCCCCGUGGAGAUCGACGCGCCGAGGCUGCGGUGCUUCAGGUACAAGGGGCUCCUCCGGCCAUUCUCGCUGAGCCCGCGGCCGCCGGACUUGGGGCAUGCCGACCUGCAUUUUGUCCCGCGCGGCCGCGAUGAACGGGGGAAUAAAAUUCUACGCGGCGACGAGUUCAACUUCAACAUGAUGAGUCUCGGCCAUGGCCGUGGCAGCAAAACCGGCUCGCGCGACCUCGAGCCCUUGUGGCGAUUCCUUGGCAACUUCACCGGCGCCAAGGAGCUGAAGCUAAGGAUAAACCCCAUCGAGGACAUGGCCGUGCUCAGCGAGGCGAGGCGGGCCGAGCUCCUGCCCGCCUUCCCCAUCCUCGAGCGCGUCGAGCUGCACGGGGUGCACCGGCCGAAAGGCAGGACGGCGGCGGUGGCCAUCGGCAACCUGCUCCGCUGCUGCCCCGCGCUCCGUGACCUCCGGAUCAACCUCACCGCGGAGCACCACUACCCAAAGUAUCUGCACGACCAAGACCUCUUCCUGGAAAGCAAGUUCCGAGCCGAUGGGGACAAGUGCAUCCACCUUCGCAACCGCUGCCGUGUCUCGCCGAACCCCGCAGCGGUUUCGCCCGGAGGAGACGACGGCGACGCUAACUACGACGAGGUUUCCGAGCUCCCUGGCUUGAGCCAGCGCUCGUUCGACUGCUUACGGAGCUCGUUGACGAGGGUGGGCUUGCAGUUCCGGAUGGAGGAAGAGGUGGACUGUCUUGGCGUCAGGCUCAUCAAAUUCUUCGCCGAGAACGCCAUGGUUCUUCAAGAGAUGUUUAUCGACGGCGGAAACGGGAAGCCGGGCGAGCACAUCACCGGCAAAGUUGAGAGAUGGGUUGCUGAUUCAUCGUGCAUCACGAGGAAGCCCGGAGCGUCGAGCUUUGUGGUGUUGCCCCUGGUCAGGUGA
rnacentral:rRNA from 1 species